GACGUAGGAGGCGAGCGUUGUCCGGAUUCAUUGGGCGUAAAGAGCGCGCAGGCGGCUUGGUAAGUCGGAUGUGAAAACCCGAGGCUCAACCUCGGGCGUGCAUCCGAAACUGCUCGGCUAGAGGUAGGUAGGGGAGAUCGGAAUUCCUGGUGUAGCGGUGGAAUGCGCAGAUAUCAGGAGGAACACCAAUAGCGAAGGCAGCUCGCUGGGACGUUACUGACACUGAGGCGCGAAAGCGUGGGGAGCGAACAGG
rnacentral:rRNA from 1 species